CCACCUCCAAAUGAUCUAAGAGAACAAUACAUGUCUCAAAUCAGUCAGUUAUUUGCUGUCCACAUUGAUGGACUACAGCUGUCAAAUUUCAAACUUGUGACCAAGGAAGUUUGCAAGCUGCCUUUAUUUUUCUCCACACCACUUUUUAAAAAAAUUGAUGUUAAUGGCACUGGUUUGGUUACAAGGGAUGCAUUUGUGGAUUAUUGGGUCAAUGAAAACA